CUACGUGCCAGCAGCCGCGGUAAUACGUAGGUCCCGAGCGUUGUCCGGAUUUAUUGGGCGUAAAGCGAGCGCAGGCGGUUAGAUAAGUCUGAAGUUAAAGGCUGUGGCUUAACCAUAGUACGCUUUGGAAACUGUUUAACUUGAGUGCAAGAGGGGAGAGUGGAAUUCCAUGUGUAGCGGUGAAAUGCGUAGAUAUAUGGAGGAACACCGGUGGCGAAAGCGGCUCUCUGGUCUGUAACUGACGCUGAGGCUCGAAAGCGUGGGGAGCGAACAGGAUUAGAUACCCUGGUAGUCCACGCCGUAAACGAUGAGUGCUAGGUGUUAGACCCUUUCCGGGGUUUAGUGCCGUAGCUAACGCAUUAAGCACUCCGCCUGGGGAGUACGACCGCAAGGUUGAAACUCAAAGGAAUUGACGGGGGCCCGCACAAGCGGUGGAGCAUGUGGUUUAAUUCGAAGCAACGCGAAGAACCUUACCAGGUCUUGACAUCCCUCUGACCGCUCUAGAGAUAGAGCUUUC
rnacentral:rRNA from 1 species